AGCGAACGCUGGCGGCAGGCUUAACACAUGCAAGUCGAGCGGGCCCUUCGGGGUCAGCGGCAGACGGGUGAGUAACACGUGGGAACGUACCCUUUUGUUCGGAAUAACGCUGGGAAACUAGCGCUAAUACCGGAUACGCCCUUUUGGGGAAAGGCUUGCUGCCGAAGGAUCGGCCCGCGUCUGAUUAGCUAGUUGGUGGGGUAAUGGCCUACCAAGGCGACGAUCAGUAGCUGGUCUGAGAGGAUGAUCAGCCACACUGGGACUGAGACACGGCCCAGACUCCUACGGGAGGCAGCAGUGGGGAAUAUUGGACAAUGGGCGCAAACCUGAUCCAGCCAUGCCGCGUGAGUGAUGAAGGCCUUAGGGUUGUAAAGCUCUUUUGUCCGGGACGAUAAUGACGGUACCGGAAGAAUAAGCCCCGGCUAACUUCGUG
rnacentral:rRNA from 1 species